rnacentral:rRNA from 1 species
GACAGAGGGUGCAAACGUUGCUCGGAAUCACUGGGCGUAAAGGGCGUGUAGGCGGGAAGGAAAGUCAGAUGUGAAAUCCCUGGGCUCAACCCAGGAACUGCAUUUGAAACUCCCUUUCUUGAGUGUCGGAGAGGAAAGCGGAAUUCCUGGUGUAGAGGUGAAAUUCGUAGAUAUCAGGAGGAACACCGGUGGCGAAGGCGGCUUCUGGACGAUAACUGACGCUGGAGAACGCGAAAGCGUGGGGAGCAAACAGG